rnacentral:piRNA from 1 species
UGAACUACUCGGAUGUUAGUUUGAAAGCUA